CAUCAUAAUCACCUGGAAGAACUUGCUAGCAACAUGUUGGGGGAGACAAACCUCCAGGGAAUAUAAUAACUUUAGAUGUGGAAUGUUGCCUGGAAAUUUGCCCUUGUAACAAGAUCCCCAGGUGAUUCCAUCCUGUUCCAAGUAUGUGUACAUCCACAUAUACCUUCUCAUUGAAUCCUCACAUCAAAUUCGAAAGGGAUGUUAUGUUUACAAGUGGGAAAUUGAAGAGAGGCAAUGGUGCGGAAAUUUGACAGAGGGAAGGGUAUAUGCAAAGACGACAAGGUAGCAGAAAAUAUAGAUGAUAGAGGAACAAGUUACAUGAUGCUACAUAGAAAAAAAUCUAACAAGUCCGGAACGUGAGUCAUUCUAUACAGGACAACUAGCCCAACUUUAUCAAGUCAAAGAACAAGAUGUAUCAACAUUUGGAAGAUCUGCAUAACUUGAUGGAUCAAUGCUUUCCACAUGACUAAUGCACAAUAUUACAAAAUCACACAUGGG